rnacentral:rRNA from 1 species
AACGAACGCUGGCGGCAUGCCUAACACAUGCAAGUCGAACGAGACCUUCGGGUCUAGUGGCGCACGGGUGCGUAACGCGUGGGAACCUGCCCUUAGGUUCGGAAUAACUCCCCGAAAGGGGUGCUAAUACCGGAUAAUGUCUUCGGACCAAAGAUUUAUCGCCUUUGGAUGGGCCCGCGUUGGAUUAGCUAGUUGGUAGGGUAAAAGCCUACCAAGGCGACGAUCCAUAGCUGGUCUGAGAGGAUGAUCAGCCACACUGGGACUGAGACACGGCCCAGACUCCUACGGGAGGCAGCAGUGGGGAAUAUUGGACAAUGGGCGAAAGCCUGAUCCAGCAAUGCCGCGUGAGUGAUGAAGGCCUUAGGGUUGUAAAGCUCUUUUACCCGGGAUGAUAAUGACAGUACCGAAAGAAUAAGCUCCGGCUAACUCCGUG